GACGUAGGGCGCGAGCGUUGUCCGGAUUUAUUGGGCGUAAAGAGCUCGUAGGCGGCUUGUCGCGUCGACUGUGAAAACCCGCGGCUCAACUGCGGGCCUGCAGCCGAUACGGGCAGGCUAGAGUUCGGUAGGGGAGACUGGAAUUCCUGGUGUAGCGGUGAAAUGCGCAGAUAUCAGGAGGAACACCGAUGGCGAAGGCAGGUCUCUGGGCAUUAACUGACGCUGAGGAGCGAAAGCAUGGGGAGCGAACAGG
rnacentral:rRNA from 1 species